rnacentral:rRNA from 1 species
ACUCCUACGGGAGGCAGCAGUGGGGAAUUUUGGACAAUGGGCGAAAGCCUGAUCCAGCCAUGCCGCGUGCAGGAUGAAGGCCUUCGGGUUGUAAACUGCUUUUGUACGGAACGAAACGGCCUUUUCUAAUAAAGAGGGCUAAUGACGGUACCGUAAGAAUAAGCACCGGCUAACUACGUGCCAGCAGCCGCGGUAAUACGUAGGGUGCAAGCGUUAAUCGGAAUUACUGGGCGUAAAGCGUGCGCAGGCGGUUAUGUAAGACAGUUGUGAAAUCCCCGGGCUCAACCUGGGAACUGCAUCUGUGACUGCAUAGCUAGAGUACGGUAGAGGGGGAUGGAAUUCCGCGUGUAGCAGUGAAAUGCGUAGAUAUGCGGAGGAACACCGAUGGCGAAGGCAAUCCCCUGGACCUGUACUGACGCUCAUGCACGAAAGCGUGGGGAGCAAACAGGAUUAGAUACCCCAGUAGUCCC